rnacentral:lncRNA from 1 species
AGUUUCAAUAAGAAAUAAUGGGAGCAUGAACUUUGCAGAAAAGAUAAAAAUGGAAUGAAGACAGAACUCUGUGAGAGAAAGAACAUAGUAACUAUUCUAAUGAUGUUGGGAUCCUCAGUCUUCCAGAGGAUGGCAAUGGGAUUUGCUAAUACAGGAUGGGAGAGAGAAUGAUGUGUGAGUGUCUGUGAUGAAGAUGUCACACUUACAGCAGAAACUGAGAAACAGUGGAUAACUUCUGAAAUCUUUGGAAUUUAAGAAAGAAGUGAUUAUGCUGUUGAAAUCGUGAAGAUUUUACAGACUGCCUCCCAGAUUCACUGCCAGCAUCAGCAUGCUUGACUAGGAGAGUCAGGAGGGCCCUGCCAAGUCUGAUGCACUAUCUCUACCAUGACACCCUGAGGAGGAACUUGGAUUUCAAAUUAGUGAGCAGUCGGUACAAUGUAUUUCACUAUGCCAUGUUCAACAGAAAGGAAUACGAGCUUGAAAUACAUUCACAGAGUCUGUCAUCUUUUCCUAUCUCUCCAACAAAGAGAAGAGCUUUCUUUCUAGUUUGGACUGCCAAUGUCUUCCCUUCCACCUCGGGACUCAUUCUCUUGCAAUUUGGCACUGCCAACCCAGGUAUUGAAUUUAUAUUCCCUCCACUUAUUUAAUGUCAGCCCCUUCUCAAAGAGCCGAAUUGAGUUUUGCCUUGUUUACUAAACUUUUCCUGCCAUUUCCAGUGCACAUGACUCUUUCAGCUCUUUGAACAGUUUUAUAGCUACAAUCACACAGUGUUAACAUUUUCCCCAAAGUUUUUCUUGUAUGUUGGUAUAUAAUUUUUCCAAAUAUUCAAGAGAAGAAGAUAUUUUUAUUCUUUGUAUAUAUGUCUGACAGUGCUGAGUACUCCUUCUGCUGUUUUCCAUACUACUGUGGGAAUUCAUUCAACCACUGAAAAAAUUAUUUAUCUAUGUCGUUCACAGUUGGGUGUGAUAUAGGCACAAAAAAUGCUACAAAACAUAAAGGCAGCUACUGUUUCCUAGGCUUUUACAGCAUAGACAAGGAAAGAAACAUGAAAAGAUAUGUAACAAGACUGACACAGAGAUACAUUUAAAAAUAUUUAUUUAUUCAUUACUGAGUACUUCUCAGUUGGUUAGGAGCACAUUCACAGCCCCUGAAGUUGUGAGGGUUAUUGACUAUAGAGCUGUUAAGUGUCAGAAGGGCUGCAAAGAACCCAAGGAGACAGGAGUGCGCGCUCGUGCUUUCUCUCGCUCUCUCUCUCUCUCUCAUCUGUGUCACUGUAUCUUUCUCUUUCUCCCUGGAUGACAAGAAAAGUAAGAAAGAGGGAAAAUAAUGAAUAACUAUGAAAGAGAUUGAGUUCUUUUUUUCUCCAGCAAAAUCCAAGAGACUCUUGUGGAAAUGUCUUCCAUAGAAACAAGGGUAGACAGAUAAAAGAUCUUGUGUUAUCUGCUGCCUCCCAGAAGGGGGGAAGUACAGAACUUACAGUCCAGGUUAACUGGAGGCUUGGAGAAUGAAAAUAGAAACAGGAAGAAGAGGAAUGACAACAACAAUAAAAAUGACUAAGUGUCUUUAAGAUUCAUCCUCUGUAUUGGAGACCUUAGAGUGUUGGGAUGCUGAACUCAAAAGCAGCAAAGCCCAGAGUUCUCAUACAUUCUCAUAUAUUGGUAGAAAAAAAUUAUCUCCCUUCUCUCACUUUCCAUGUAUUUUCUUCCCACUGCAAAUUGGCAUCUGCUUUCACCAUUUUACAGAAAUUAUUCCUCAUAAAGCCAACAGUGACAUCCUCAUUGUCAAAUGGGCACUUUCAGUCUACAUACUAUUGGGCUUCUCUGUUGAAUUUAUUUUUGUGAUCUCUGCUUUCUUAAACAAUCAGUUUCAAAACUUGAAUUCUGUGACUUUAGUGUACUUUCUCCGCCGCACCCUUAAUUCCUUUCGUGUUUGUUCAAGUUUGAGUUUUCUAUUCUCAGUCAAUAUCUUUACUCCAUCUAUGUGCUCUUCUAUGCUGAUCUCAUCUGCCCUCACAGUUUUGAGUACUACGUAUAUGCUUCUUUCUGGCAAGUAUUUUUGUGUGUAGAUUCUUCAUACAACACCUUCAGCUCUACAUCUGAUAUGCCCUUCAAAUUCUGCAUAGUUAAAAUAGAACCCUACUUCCUUCUGUAAAAAAGUCCCUUUCCAGUCUUUAUUGCAACUGGUGGUAUUGCUAUCCACCUAGUUCUCCCGAGAACUUCAGAGCAGUUAUUGAGACUUCCUUCUCCCUCACCAACCGUAUCUAAUUAAUCUCUAAGUAUUUUCCAAAUAUGUCUUCAUUGCUUUGUUUCUAUUAUCCGUGUUCUAGUUAGCUUGAAUUCCUAUAGUGCUUUUCUAAGUGGUUUCUGAAUAUUCAGUCUUCUUCCCCUUUCAACUCCAUUUUCUAAAGAGGUAAGAGACUGAACUUGUUAGACACAAAUCUAAUAUUCAUUACUCUUCUUAAAACUUUCAGUAUCACUUAAUACAUGACAAUUUUCUCUCCGUAGAAUUUAAGACCCUCCGUUAGCUCCUACCUACUUCCUGUUUCAUCAUCUCUUCAGCUGGCACCUGGCAAGAAGUGUUUACGGUUACAUGAUUUCACACGUCUGUGUCAUUGCUCUUCUUGAAAUGUCCUCACCGUCUUCACCUCCUUGACGUAUUUCUGCUUAUUUUAGCAACUAAGAAGUAUCUCCAAUUUUUUUAUGAUUGCAACCCUUUGGGGCUUUAGGGGCGAAUUAGUCCAUUUUCAUGCUGCUGAUAAAGACAUACUUGAAACUGGGCAAUUUACAAAAGAAAGAGGUUUAAUGGACUUACAGUUCCAUGUGGCUGGAGAAGCCUCACAGUCAUGGCAGAAGGUGAAAGGCACAUCUCACAUGGCAGCAGACAAGAGAACAGAGAGCUUGUUAGGGAAACUCCCCCUUAUAGAACCAUCAGAUCUCGUGAGACUAAUUCACUAUCAUGAGAACAGCAUGGGAAAGGCCUGCCCCUGUGAUUCAAUUACCUCCUACCAGGUCCCUCCUGCAACACAUGGGAAUUCAAAAUGAGAUUUGGGUGGGGACACAGUCAAACCAUCUCAUUCCGCCCCUGGCCCCUCCCAAAUCGUAUGUCCUCACAUUUCAAAAUGAAUCAUGCUUUCCCAACAGUCCCCCAAAGUCUUAACUCAUUUCAGCAUUAACUCAAAAGUCCACAGUCCAAUGUCUCAUCUGAGACAAGGCAAGUCUCUUCCAUCUAUGAGCCUGUAAAGUCAAAAGCAAGUACCGCCUAGAUGCAAUGGUAGUACAGGCAUUGGGUAAAUACAGCCACUCCAAACAGGAGAAAUUGGCCAAAGCAAAGCAGCUACAGGGCCCAUGCAAGUCUGAAAUACAGUGGGGCAGUCAAAUCUUAAAGCUCCAAAAUGAUCUCCUUUGACUCCAUGUCUCACAUCCAGUUCAUGCUGAUGCAGAGGUUGGCCCCUAUGGCCUUGGGCAGCUCCUCCCCUGUGGCUUUGCAGGGUAUAGCCUCCCUCCCAGCUGCAUUCAUGGGCUGGCAUUGAGUGUCUGCAGCUUUUCCAGGCACAUGGUGCAAGCCAUCAGAGGAGCUAUCAUUCUGGGGUCUGGAGAACUGUGGCCCUCUUCUCACUGCUCCACUAUGCAGUGCCCAAGUAGGGACUCUGUGUGGGGGCUCCAAUCCCACAUUUCCCUUCCACAAUGCCCUAGCAGAGGUUCUCCAUGAGGGCCCCACCCCUGCAGCAAACUUCUGCCUGGGCGUGAAGUUGUUUCCAUACAUCUUCUGAAAUCUAAAUGGAGGUUCCCCAACCUCAAUUCUUGACUUCUCUACACCCGCAGGCUCAACACCACAUGGAAGCUGCCAAGGACUAGGGCUUCCACACAUUGAAACCACAGCUUGAGCUGUACCUUGGCCCCUUUUAGUCACGGCUGGAGUGGCUGGGAUGCAGAGCACCAAGUGCCUAGACUGUACACAGCAGAGUGACCCUUGGUUCCGGCCCACAGAAUGAUUUUUUCUUCCUAAUCCUCUGGGCCUGUGAUGGGAGGGGCUGCCACAAAGGUCUCUAACAUGCUCUGGAGACAUUUUCCCCAUUGUCUUGGUGAUUGAUAUUUGGCUCUUCAUUACUUAUGCAAAUUUCUGCAGCCCGCUUGAAUUUCUACUCAGAAAAUGGGAUUUUCUUUUCUGUUGCAUUGUCAGGCUGCAAAUUUGCUGAACUUUUAUGCUCUGUUUCCCUUUUCAAACAGCAUGCCUUUAACAGCACCCAAGUCACAUCUUGAAUGCUUUGCUGCUUAGAAAUUUUUUCCAUCAGAUACCCUAAAUCAUCUCUCUCAAGUUCAAAGUUUCAGAAAUCUUUACAGCAGGGGCAAAAUGCCACCAGUCUCUUUGCCAAAAUGUAACAAGAGUCACCUUUGCUCUAGUUCCCAACAAGUUCCUCAUUUCCAUCUGAGACCACCUCAGCCUGGGUUUUAUUGCCAUAUUGCUAUCAGCAUUUUGGGCAAAGCCAUUCAACAAGUCUUAGGAUGUUCCAAACUUUACCGCAUUUUCCUGUCAUCUUCUGAGCCCUCCAAACUGUUCCAAACUCUGCCUAUUAUUGAGUUCUAAAGUCACUUCCACAUUUUUGGGUAUCUUUUCAGCAGUGCCCCACUCCUGGUACCAGUUUACUGUAUUAGUCAAUUCUCACAGUGCUGAUCAAGACAUACCUGAGACUGGGCAGUGGACUUACCAUUCUCCGUGGCUGGGGAAGCCUCCCAAUCAUGGUGGAAAGUGAGAGGCCCAUUUCAUAUGGUGGCAGACAAGAGAAGAGAGAGCUUGUGCAAGGAAACUCCUUCUUAUAGAACCAUGAGAUCUACUAUCACGAGAACAGCACAGGAAAGACCUGCCCCCAUUCAAUUACCUCCUACCAGGUCCUUCCCACAACACGUGGAGAUUCAAGAUGAGAUUUGGGUGGGGACAAAGACCAUAUCAGGGGGUAAUUUAAAAGAAUAGAAAAUAAGUCACAUGGGAUUUUAAAGUAGAUUAUAUGAGAAGAUUAUAGUAGCCACAUGAUGCUCUGCAUGACCUAAAUGUCAGAGAAAUUCAAAUUUAGGCAUGACAUAGACCAAGAAAUAGUCACAAAAGUUUCAUCAAAAUGCUGCUUCAGUUUUACCCCAAUGGCUAACCCUUCCCAUUAUGAAAAGCCAUUUAGUGAAAUUGAACAUUAGGAGAGAUUUUUAUUAUUUUUUCCAGGGCACUGCCUUGUCCCUUCCAAAUAGACCAUGGUCAAAUUUUAUGGUGCCUCCAAGUCAGACAUGUGAGCCCUAAAUUAUUUAGAUUUUACAUACUGGAAAUGUGCACUCUUGCUUUUCUAUCCUCACUGUUGGUGAUAGGGAAAUGAACUUAAAUACAUGUCUUUCAAGCCCAAAAGAUCAAUCAGUUGAAAAUGGAGAAAACAUGGAGCCCUCCAUGAAAACCUAUUCUGCUGUAAAGUCCCUGGGCAGAGACUAGGGUAGGGUAUGUUUCUACCCUAAUAUUUAGAGUUCUUUUUAAUUAAUAUUAGGCUUGAAUUGAUUCUUUAUGUUAUAUUACUAUUCUUGAAGAUUCAGCUUUUGAAUUAAGGUCUCUGAGAGAACUUCCAUAAAUUCUCAGACUAGGUUUUGUUUACUAAUCUUCACUCCAGCCAGUAUUUUGUGUAUAACUCUGUUGCUACAGUUAAAACACUGAAUUAUAUGUCUUUCUUUAUAUCUCUACCUCUUCUGCUAUCAUGGGUUCAUUGAGAGCAGGAAACUUGUUAUAAUUAUUUCUAUUUCCCCAAAUCUAGAACAAUGCCUAACAGGUGCAUAAUAAAAUGUUUGUUGAAUGAGUAAACAAAUUGGUGUUGGUUACAAUGAAGUAUAAGUGCUAAAGAAUCUAUUCUCAAUGUCUAUUUAGUAAUCAAUAAAUUUUUUGUUCUCUAUAUAUCUAUAUGUACACAUAUAUAGAUAUAGAUAGGUAUGUUUUUCUAAUAACAAAUUUCUUAAUAUCGAGGCAAUAUUCUAUAUUUUAGCUCUUCCCAGAGGUACUAGAAUGGGGAAAGAAAUAACCUGAAGUGUUCCAUAAGGCUAAUAAUCUAGGAUAACCCAUAUAAAAGAAUUUACUAAAGAUUGAAUGGGGUAGCAUGCUGCACUGGAUAUGUGAUGGUGAGCUGCAUGAGUACAGCUGCCCUCAGAAAGUGAAACUGAAAAUCAGUCCCUAAUACGUUGGAACAAAAAUAAAGCCAGCUAAGGAGACAGUUAAGCUAACUCCCAAAGAAGUGAAACACAUGACAAUACCUGAACCAUAAUGUUAUAUCGGAACAAAGGUGAUACCAAGCAACUGAGGAGGUGGACUAAAAUGAAAAUGUAAAAAUGGUAAGUCAUGGCCCAUAUCACGGUAGUGCUCUUCCAACCUUUUCACAGGAAGAGGACCUUUGGUCAGUAACAAACCUCUCAGGGCCAAGUGGCAGGGGUAUCUUUCUUGUGGAGAUGGCUGUUUCAGGCUUAGUCUGAUGCCAUCAUAAGGGGCAUCCUAUGGGGGCCAGGGAGAUAUUUUCACAUAGUAGAAAUGGCACAAAUGGAGAAGGCAGGGCAACAAGUGGUCCAGAAUGGCAGGAACAUUGUUGUGACAAGUAGGAGGCUGGUGUUAAUAGUUAGGUGAUAGGCUAAGUGUGUGGGGAGAAUUGUCCAUUGUUAUAAGGUACUUGUUAUUUAGGUGAUAGGGAUCAUGGAAGAUGACUAAGGCAGGGAUUAGAGUUAGGGUAUAGGAACAUCAAACUUGUGGUUUUGUACAAAAUAGAAUAAAGAAUGGAAUUAGGAAAACCUCUGAGAAAUUUUUGCAUAGAUGAGGUAAAUGAUUAAGGCCUAAACUAAGCAGUGGAAAGAAUGUUAAAUAUGAUAUAUGAUGCAAAAUGGACACCAGGCCAAAAAAAAAAAAUUCUAGCAUCAACAAAUCUUUAAUACCACUCAAUUGCCUAAACUUCAUUUUGGAUCAAUUAAACACCUGUGAGUGAUGUCUCUGAAGCCAUUAAGCACUAUUUUUUAAAGACAUUAGGCACAGAUAUACAUAACAUGAAGUUUGCCUCUUCAGCCAUUUUUAAUGCACAAUUCCAUAGCAUGAAAUACGUCUACAGUGUUGUACAACCAUCACCAUUAUCCAUUUGUGGAGCCUUUUCACUACUCCAAACUGAAAGUGUGUCCAUUGAACAUUAAUUCCCAGUUCCAUCCUCCCUCCAAUCUGAAGUAACCUCUAUUCUACUUUCUGUCUCUAUAACCUUCCCUAUUCUAGACACCACACAUAAGUGGAAUCAUACCAUAUUUGUCCUUCGCAUCUCUGCAUCUCACUUAUUUUACAUAGCAUAAUGUUUUUAAGGCUCGUAUAUGUGGUAACGUGUCAGAACUUUAUUUUUAUGGAUCAAUAAUAUUCCAUUGUGUGAAUAUAUCAGAUUUUGUUUAUUCAUUAAUUUGUUGAUGGAUAUUAGGCUUGUUUUUACCUUUUGACUCUUGUGAAUAAUAGUGCUAUGAACAUUGGUGCACGAGUAUUUGAGUUUCUGUUUUUAAUUAUUCUAGAUUAUACCUAGGAACUUUAAAGCCAGAUUUAAAGCCUUCCUUUCACUAUGGUAGUGUGUAGGAAUGAAAUUCCAGUGUGUGCACUCUGCCACGGGGAGCCCUGAAUUCCCAUUACUGUUCCUACCAGUCAGAAGAGGGUUAAAUCAUCAAAUCAUUCAUUCUGGAAAGUGACAAUGCCUUGGAUUUCAAAUAAAUGACACCUUUUUGUUUCUCAAAGUUCAGGAGAAAAACUGCUAUUGUUUUUUUCAUCACUCAAUAGGAUCAUGAGAGGUCCUACUGCAACAGCACAUGGAAACUUACAGAAACUUAUGAAAGGUUCUGGGUUGUGAUGACUGACCCUUCUCCCACACCCCAGUGUGAGACUCUGGGGAGAAUUAAAUUCCAUCAUUACAAUUCACAUUUUCUUGAAGACUCUCCUUAGUUAAUAGGAGCUAAAGCUGAUGCUGAAUUUGCCUUCUAUGAGAGUACAGUGCUAAGGCUGAGAGAUAGUAAAAGUGAAUCUAAAACCUGGUUAUGGAAGAUGGCUAAAUAUACAGCCUGGAAGAGCUUCUCCCACCAAGAGAGACCAGACCAUCAGGUAGACUGACACACUCUGAACAUUUGGAAAGAAGGCAUUGAGAGUGGAUACAGGGAAGACACGGAACCCAGGGGCUGAAAGAGGAGGAAGCUGGAAAACCUGCAUGUGGUUGCUGAGCACCAGGACUCAUUCCUGUCCCCAAGCAGCUCCUAGGGAAGAGGUGAAUUAAAAGGCAUGAAUAAUUCCACUCUUGUCACGAACCUCUGGGAUCCCAGCUGUGGGAGACCCCACAGCCCCCACAAACAUUUGAAUUGGCAGGGAGAACUGCUUGGAGAGUUGGCAGAGACAGAACUCCAGUCUGCACAGAGCCCAGAGUGUUUGGUGUGGAAACAGCUGCAGUAGAGCAUAGCCACGGAUGUCCAUCCUCCAAGUCUUGCCAUAUGACACUUGGUGGCUUUAGUCUUUGUUAUCAGCUGGACAUGGAGAGAGCAGGGUUAUCCUGCCCAUGGGAUGGGGCCAGUCUGAUAUGAAUGCCCCCCAUCAACCAGACUCUCCCAGGGUCUCUGGCUGCAUCCACUUGCUGAAAUUCUUGCCAGUGGCCACUGCCAUGGCUCUUUCACCAGCAGCUCCCACCUUCCCAUUGGAGUACUUUUACAGAUGAACCUCUGCUGGGUGCAUACCCACCUGCAGUUUUCCCCUGCCAGUAUGCACUUGCCACCCUGCAGUAUCCCUUCGUGGCCUCCAUGGUGCACAUGCACAUGGAGACCUGCUGCCUCACCAGUGUGCACAUGUGCAGGGACCCACCACUGCCCCACUGGCAAGCACACAUGCAUGGACUCAUUGCCACCCAGCUGUCAUGCAUGCAUGUGGGGGCACUUGCCUGUGGCCCCCCUGCUGCAGCAGUCUCCCACGACUCCCCCACUGCCCAGCUGCAGAGCAUAUGCCAGCAGCCCCUGUCAGAGUGCUGUUGCCAGUGGACUGAGAAUACCUUGGCCUCUAUAGCACAGCAGGAGCUUGACCCUGAGGGGCCAGAGAACAAAGCUGUGGGCCUGGUCCUAGCACUUCAGGGUUAGAGUAGGCAGCCCAGGAGUGCUGGUCUAAGCCCUGGUUCCCUUAAAGCAUCCAUAAAUGAAGCCAGUUGACUAAACCCAACUUAUAUCACAAUCAACUUCUUAAGGACAUCAAAGAACAUAAAAGCAAGAAGCCCCAUCCAAAGGACAGCAACUUUAAAGAUUAAAGUAACUCAGCCCACACAGAUGAGAAAGAACCAGCACAAGAAUUCUGGCAACUCUGAAAACAUAGUGUCUUUUUACCUCCAAAUGACCAUACUAUCUCCCCAGAAAUGGUUCUUAACCAGAUUGAAAUGGCUAAAAUAAGAGAUAUAGAAUUCAGAAUUUGGUUGACAAGGAAGCUCAAUGAGAUACAGGAGGAGAUUGAAAUCCAGUCCAAGGAAAGCAGUAAAAUGAUCCAACAGUUGAAAGAUAACAGAAGCAUUUUAAGAACCCAACUGAACAUCUUGACAAAAACAUACUACAGGAACUUCAGAAUGCAACUGGAUGCAUUAAUAACAGAAUAGAUCAAGCUGAGGAAAGAAUCUUAGAGUUUGAAGACUGUUCCUUUGAACAAACACAAGAAGACAAAAAUAAAAAAAAAUAUUUAAAAAUGAACUGAGAAAUAUGGAAUUAUGUAAAGAGACCAAAGUUAUGACUCAUUGGCAUUUCUGAAGGACAUGGAGAGAGAGGAAGCAAAUUGGAAAAUAUAUUUGAGAAUAUUGUCCCUGAAAAUCUCAUUAUUCAUUUUCAUGUUGAUCUCCGCUAUUAGAGAGGUCAACAUGAAAAUUAAAAGAACACCUGUGAGAUACUAUACAGGACAAUCAUCCCCAAGACACAUGGUCAUCAGAUUCUGCAAGGUCAACGUAUAAGAAAAAAAAAGCAGCUAGAGAUAAGUGGCAGGCCACCUACAAAGGGAACCCCAUCAGGCUAACAGUGGACAUUUCAGUAGAAACUUAGCAAGCUAGAAGAAAUGAGGGAAGGGGGCUAUAUACUGCAUUAUUAAGCAAAAGAAAUUUCUACCAAGAAUUUCAUAUACAGCCAAACUAAACUUUAUAAGUGAAGUAAAAACACAAUCCUUUUCAGAGAAGCAAAUGCUAAGGGAAUUUGUUACUACCAGACGUGCCUUACAAGAGGUUCUAAAGGAUUGCUAAACAUGGAAACAAAAGACCAAUACUACCCACCACAAGAACACACUUAAGAACAUAGCCAACUGACACUAUAAAGCUGCUAUACAAUCAAGUCUACAUAACAACCAGCUAACAAUACAAUGACAGGAUCAAAUCCUCAUAUAUCAACAUUGACCUUGAAUGUAAAUGGGAUAAAUGUCCCCACUUAAAAGACAUAGAGUGGAAAGUUAGAUAAAGACACAAGACCCAACCAUAAGCCAUAUUCAAGAGACCCAUCUCACAUGCAGUGAUAAUCAUAGGCUCAAAAUAAAGGCAUGGAGAAAUAUUAAGCAAACAGAGAACAAGAAAGAGAAGAUGCUAUGCUUAUUUCAGACAAAACAGAUUUUAAACCAGUGACAAUCAAAAAGGACAAAGAAGGGCAUUACGUAAUGAUAAAGGGUGCAAUUCAAUAAGAAGACUUAACUAUCCUAAAUAUUUAGGCAGCCAACAUUGGGCCACAUAAAACAAAUUCUUAGAGACCUAUAAAGAGACUUAGAUAACCACACAAUAAUUGUGGGAGACUUAACACCUUACUGACAGUGUUAGACACAUCAUUAAGGCAGAAAACUAACAUAGAUAUCUGGGACCUAUUGGAAGUUGGCACUUGACAAAAUGAACCUAGCAGACAUCUACAGAAUAUUCCACCCAACAACAGAAUAUACACUUUUCUUGCCUGUACCUGGUACAUACUCUAAGACUGACCACACAAUCUGCCAUAAAGCAAUUUUCUAAAAAAAUUAAAAAAAUGAAAUCAUACCAACCAGCUGCUUGGAACACAGCACAAUAAAAAUACCAAGAAUAUUGAGAAAUCAAUACCAAGAUGAUUUCUCAAAACUGUGCAAUUACGUGGAAAUUAAGCAACCUGCUCCUGGAUGACUUUUGGGUAAAGAAUGAAAUUAAGGCAGAAAUAAAAUGUUCAUUGAAACUAUUGAAAAUAAAAAAGAUACAACGUACCAGAAUCUCUGGGACACAGCUAAAGCAGUGUUAAAAGGUAAAUGGAAAGUUUAUAAUACUAAUCACCUACAUCAAGACAUUAGAAAGAUCUAAAAUUAGCAAACUAACAUCACACCUAGAGGAACAAGAAAAGUGAGAGAAAACCAACCCCAAACUACCAGAAGAAAAGAAAUAACCAAAUCAGAGGUCAACUGAUUGGAAUUGAGAUGUGAAAAUCUAUACAAAAAUCAAACCAAAAGUUGGUCCUUCCAAAGAAUAAGCAAUACUGAUCGAUGGCUAGCUAGAUUAAUAAAUAGAGAAGAUCCAAAUGAACACACUCAGAAAUGACAAAGGUGACGUUACAACUUACCCCACAGAAACACACGAAACCCUCAGAGACUAUUAUGAAUACCUAUAUGCACAUAAACUAGAAAACCUGGAAGAAAUGGAUAUAUUCCUGGAAACAUACAACCUCUUAAGAUUGAACCAGGAAGAAAUUGAAAUCAUGAACAGACCAAUAAUGAGUUCUAAAAUUGAAUCAGUAAUAAAAAUCCUACCAACCAAAGAAGCCCUGGACCAGACAGAUUCAAGCCAAUUUCUACCAGAUGUAUGAAGAAGAGUUCAUACCAAACCUACAGAAAUUAUUACAAAAAACUGGGGAGAAGGUACUCCUCCCUAAAUCACUCUUUGAGGCAAGCAUCAUUCUGAUACCCAAACUUGUCAGAGACACAAUGAAAAAAGAAAACUUCAGGUUAGCAUCCCUGAAGAACAUAGAUGCAAAAAAUCCUCAAUAAAAUAUCAAAAACCAAAUCUAGCAGCCCAACAAAACCUAAUCUCCUAUGACUAAGACGGACUUAUUCCUGGGAUACAAGGUUGGUUCAAUAUAUACAAAUCAACAGAUAUAAUGCAUCACAUAAACAGAACUAAAAACAAAAACCACAUGAUCAUCUCAAUGGAAGCAUAAAAGUCUUGAUAAAAUUCAACAUCCCUUUAUGAUAAAAACCCUCAAUAAACUGGUCAUCACAGGAACAUACCACAAAAUUAUAAGAGCCAUCUGUCAGAAACCCACAGCCAAUGUCAGACUGAACAGGCAAAAACUGGAAGCUUCCCCCUGAGAACUGGAACAACACAAGGUUGUCCACUACCACCACUCCUGUUCGACACAGUGCUGGAAGUCCUAGACAGAGCAAUAGGCAAGAGAAAGAAAGAAAAGCCAUCCAAAUAGGAAUAGAGGAAGUCAAACUCUCUCUCUUCAGAGAUGAUAUGCUUCCACACCUAGAAAACCACAUAGUCUCUGCCCAAAGGUUCCUAGAUCUGACAAACAACUCUGGUAAAGUUGCAGGAUACAAAAUCAAUGUACAAAAAAUCAGUAGCAUUUCUAUAAUGCUAAUGUAAUACUUGAACACUAGUAAUGUCCAAGCUGAGACCCAAAUCAAGAACACAAUUCCAUUCACAUUAGCCACAAGAAGAAAGCACCUGAAUAGCCAGAGCCAUCCUAAGCAAAAAGAGAAAAGCUUGAGACAUUUUACUACUCAACUUCAAAUUAUACUACUAGGCUAUAGUAACCGAAAUAGCGUGGUACUGGUACCAAAAAAAUAGAUACAUAGACCAAUUGAACAGGUUCAAGGAUCCAGAAGUAAAGCUGCAUACCUCUGUAACCAUCUGAUCAUCAACAAAGUUGACAAUAACAAGCAAUGGGAAAAGGACUCUAUUCAAUAAAUGGCUCUGGGAUAACUGUCUAGUCACAUGCAGAACACUGAAACUAGACACCUACCUUUUACCAUAUAAAAAUUAACUCAAAAUCGAUUAAAGCCUUAAAAUGUAAAGGCUUUAUAGCCUAAAACUAUAGAAACCCUAGAAGGAAAUGCAGGACAUACCAUUCUGGACAUAGGCCUUGGCAAAGAUUUUAUGAUGAAGUCUCCAUAAACAAUUGCAACAAAAACAAAAAUUGAUAAGGGUGACCUAAUUAAAAAGCUUGUGCACAGCAAAAUAAACUAUCAACAGAGUAAACAGACAAGCUAAAGAACGGGAGAAAAUAUUUGCAAAGUAUGCAUCUGACAAAGGUCUAAUAUCCAGAAUCUGUAAGGAACUUAAGCAAAGAACAUACAACCCAAUUAAAAAAUGGGCAAAGCACAUAAACAGAUGUUUCUCAAAAGAAGACAUACAUGCGGCCAACAAGCAUGUGAAAAAAUGCUCAAAAUUACUAAUCAUUAGGGAAAUGCAAAUCAAAACCACAAUGAGAUACCAUCUUACACCAGAGUGGCUGUUACUAAAAAGUCAAAAAAUAAUAGUUGUUGGUGUGGUUGCAGAGAAAAAGGAAUGCUUUUACACUGCUGACUGUAAAUUAGUUCAGCCACUGUGGAAAGCAGCUUGGAGAUUUCUUAAAGAACUUAAAACAACUGUUAUUCAACCCAGCAGUUCCAUUGCUGGGUAUACACCGAAAGGAAUAUGAAUUGUUCUAACAUAAAGACACAUGCAUGCAUAUGUUCAUCACAACACUUUUCACAAUAACAAGGACAUGGAGUUAACCUAGAUGUGCAUCACUGGUGAGCUGGACAAAGAAAAUGUGGUACAUAUAUAUCAUGGAAUACUACAAAGCCAGAAAAAAUAAUUAUGUUCUUUGCAGCAACAUGGAUGCAGCUGGAGGCCAUUAUCCUAAGGAACAGAAAAACAAAUACCACGUGUUCUCCUAAGUGGGAGCUAAACAUUGAGUAUACAUGGACACAAAGGAAACAAUAGACACUGGUACCUACCUGAUGAGGGAGUGUAGGAGGAAGGUGAGGGUCGAAAAGCUACCUGUUGGAUACUAUUACUGUGCUCACUACCUGAGUGAUGAAACCAUUUGUACACCAAACCCCAGUGACAUGCAAUUUACCCAUGUAACAAACCUAGGCAUGUACCCCCAAACCUAAAAUCAAAGUUCAGAAAAAAAAAUGAAAAGCAAAUAAAACAUGAGUAUGCUCUGAAUAAAGGCAUACCUUUCUGUUCAAUAGUAACAUGUAUUUGAUAUCUUUUGCUAGGGGAUCUUCUAAGUUUUUUUGCACGUAAAUUGUUGGGCACAUAGCAGAGGCUAAACUAGUUUUCAAACUGCAUUGUCUUACUGUCUUACUAUACCAGUCGCAGUCCCUGGCUUUGCAAUAAGUUUCUGGACAGAUGGAGUUAGCCAAAAUGCUAUCUAGCAAUCGGAACCUGGGUUGCACACUCCAGCUCAAAUGCAAUUUAAUCAGCAUACCCUUUGGGCAUGUACUGUCUGCCAAAGGCAGCUCCAGAGUAAGGUUGAAGUGAACCUAGGUUCUGGAAGGUCCAGGGUUUUUAAAAAAAUAACAUCUUGAAUAUUUGCAAAUUUAUAUGAAGAUACAGAAAGAAAUGUUGAGGUUAAGAAAAUUUAUCAAAAAUAGUUGCUCCAUUACAGAGUCCCCUGAGGAUAAAAACAGAAAGCAUAUUUUGAAGUCUUUGUUUUUAUAAGGUGUUGGCCAAAAGGUAAUUUCAAUAAUUCUCUUACCUCUUUCAUUUAUGUCUAUCAUUUCAUCAGUGGGGGUCACAGCCAUUUACUCCAUUUUUGGAGAUGCCAUUUAACUCAAAAAUCCCUGGAAGGAGUAGCAAAGUGGCUUGGAUUUAUAUGAAGGUAGGAACUGGUGGGUUUGGAUGAUGGUGAGGAAAGGAGUGGGCAGAGGAAGAGACAAGAGUGAGUCUAAGUAGGGAGAGCUGUGCCGGGAAAGUCUUUGAAAGGAGAGAGCUAGUAUGCUGGGAAUGAAAAUAGCUGACUUUAAAAUGGUCUAGAAUCAACCCUGGGUGCACAUUAUUAUUAAUUUUCUUUGACACUAAUGAUUUUUAAGGUAAGCCUUCAGGACUUGAAUACAUUGGAAAAAUUGAGAAAAGCAGACUUUUCAUCAUCCAAGCCUCUUCUUGCCAUGUGAUUGUGUGUUCUGCUUGCAGGGCAUGUUGCUAAGCAAGGAGACAGAAGUGCACAUUCAAUAUCUGGUUCUGCAAAUUUGUCCCUAAAGAUUUUAGGGCUUCAUUCAGGCAGAAUUUCAUAUUGAGUUAUUCUUGCCUUAAACUAGCAGACACUGGUCCUUCGGACUUAAAAUGGGUCCAUUUGCUGAAGCUUUCCAUUCUGAGCUUCCCUGAGGAAACGAGAAGCAUUUAUUGUCACCAGGGGUUGCUGGUUUGGAAACCCUCUUUCCUGCUGCUGUGUUGUUCUCUGAUUGUACAUCUGGGGUACAAUUUGGGGUGAGGAAGAAAGGUGGACCCUAAAAGUUACUGGCUUUGUCUUUCCCUGGCCUGGCUUUUAAAAAACUGAAGGUGUUUCGGUGACCCCUUUCCCUACUUGAAAGUAAUGUUCAAAAAGAGUGAAAAGAGAGCAGGGUUUUUUUUUUGUUUUUCUUUUUUUUAAGGCUUUCAUAGUGAGUAGUAUUUUUCCCCAUUCUAGUUUUCUUUUAAAAUUAUAAUGAUAAUUCUACUUCACAUAUGUGCUUGUCCUAUAGAUCAGACAAGGCAUUAAUUUGCUUAUUGGAGUUUGACAAACUGCCUGUAUUGACUUAUUGUCAAGCCAAAGCAGCCCCCCCGGUAUAAAGGCUCUGAAUUAUUUUCUUUUUAUUUUUCUUGGGGGGUGGUAAAUGAAAUAUAAUCUUGAAGGCUCCUCUUUCUCUGAAUUUGUUACAAGGAAAGUGGAAUAUAGACAAAGCAAUUAGGAUCUCCAUGCAGGAAUAAAACUUACUUGCAUCUUUACUAGACUGUUAUUAAUUAGUAAAAUGUAGUUCUCUGUAAAGUUUAAAAACUAUAUUCUCACUCAUAGGUGGGAAUUGAACAAUGAGAACACAUGGUCACAGGAAGGGGAACAUCACACUCUGGGGACUGUUGUGGGGUGGGGGGAGGGGGGAGGGAUAGCAUUAGGAGAUAUACCUAAUGCUAAAUGACGAGUUAAUGAGUGCAGCACACCAGCAUGGCACAUGUAUACAUAUGUAACCUGCAUAUUGUGCACAUGUACCCUAAAACUUAAAGUAUGAUAAUAAUAAAAUAACAAAACAAAACAAAUCUAUAUACUGUCUAAAUUUUUGUAUGUGGAAAAAGAAAAAUUCAGAAUAUAAUUCAAAAUAUGUUCAAAUCAUUAUAAUAUCAAAGAUAAUUUGAACUUGUAAUCCAGGAGUGUCUUAGUAAAAUAAAUUUGAACUACAGCAGGAAAGUAUUAGCUCGGCUCACAGGGACAAUUAUUUCCUGAUCAAGGAACUGGAUGAUCUGGAACUGAUUUUAGAUUCUAGGGAAAAAAUGGAUCAUUUCAAUGAAAUUCUUGAAAUGUGUAUGAAGUGAAGCAGAAAACUGGGACAAAAUAAAAUUGGUCAUUCAUGUGUUUGCUUCUCUCAAAGCUUGAAUAAUAAAUUUGAAGGUUUAAUAACCAACCCUACUCCUGGUCUAAAUUUAAUGUGGGCAGAAUAAUUGGUGUGUCUCCAUGUCCUUUGCUGAAAAUUCUGCCAUCAACUGUAAAAAUAAUUUUACUCAAGUAUGCAUUUAUGGUUGGAAAUGGUUAGCUAAUUAUAAAUGAGCUGCUGGAGCAUUAAAACUAUUAAUUUAAUAAAUUUUCUAACCAGUGUGUCUUUAGUCCCAGAGCAAUCUCUGGCACAUAUUAGGCAUUCAAUAACUAUUUUUUAAGUGAAUGAAUUAAGUUAGCUGAGAUAGAGGCAACUUCAUCUUUAGUAUACAUAAAUUAAAUCUCUGCUAUGGUUUGAAUGUUUAUGUCCCCUACAAAAUUCAGGUUGAAAUUUAAAUCCCAGUGUAACAUUACUAAGAGGCGAGGCCUUCAAAAGGUGAUGAGGCCUUAUGAAAAAGCUUUAAAGGGUGAAUUUGGCCCGUCCAUCUCCCCUACCAUGUGAGAACACAGUAUUCAAGGUGCCAUCUUGGAAGCAUAAACUGGGUCCUCAACGGACACUGAACCUACCGUACCUUGAUCUAGGGCUUCCCACCCUCCAAAACUGUAAGAAAUAAACUUCUGUUCUUUGUGAAUUAAAUUAUCCACUAUAAGAUAUUUUGUUAUAGCAGGAAGAACAAAUUAAGAAAACAUUCCCAAUAACAAAAAAUGGGAACUUUCAGCAGGGUAUGGUGGAAGUUCUGGGAAUACAGACUGUCAUAUGAGGACAUUCUAAGGAAGGAUGAAUCCCAUAGAGAGAUCAGUAGGGCUGAAGAAUGGACAGAUCCACAAGGGCAAUUUUGCCAUGGAGUUAAGGAGUCUUUAAAUUUUAAAUGUCACAGUUUGUGUAAAGAAUACUUUAGUGCAGAACUUUCUAAACUUUCUUUGUUCCUGGUGCCCUUAGGGUUAGUCAUUAUUUUUUCACAGUGCCCUUAGUCCAAAAGAAAAAGCCAAUAGUUUCACUUAUUAAGUAGCUAGUUCUAAAUAAAUCAGUAUUUAAGUCCUAACAACUUAGUAGCCAUUUGAAUAAACAAUAUGUUUAAAUUAAGAGAAGAAAACCUGUAAAUUUAUUUCUGAAAUAACUAGGAUUCCUUAUCAAUGGGAUGUGUGUGCCUGUUGAACACUUUACAAUUGAUCAAAUACUGAUAUCACUGCUACCCUUGGUUUUCUUUCCACAGUGACUUUCAUGCUGUACUUGAUUUUUAUCCCAGCAACCAUGAAAAAUCCUGUUUCAGAAAGAUAUGAUAUUUGGAAAGGAACCUAGCCAUCUAAUGUUAAAGUAGUCUUGCAGUGUCUGACAGAUGUCAGGAAUUGUGUCUUCCUAAAAAAUGUAAAAUAUAUUGGCGCACCCUGUGAGUUCAUUACAGAGUCCCAGUGCCCCUUGGGUAAAAAGUUGGUAACCAUGGGAUUAUGAAGUUGAAAGACAGACAUAACAAUAAUAAUAAUGUCAACUGCCAACUCACUAAAAAGACCACCAAAAUAAAGAAAACUGCAUUUAUUCUUAACCCAGUAAGGAAGAUCAAUAUCUUGUUGAAAUCUUAGUAAAUCUUCUUAGGGUAGAGGUGAAAGCCAGGGCAUUUAUGAGGUUUUGGGGUGCUGGUUUAAGACAGGCAGGUCUUUCAAUGCAGAGAACUUAACUGGAUUGACUAGAGUUUGUGACAUAAUAGUAUAAAAUUGAUGGACACAGUGAGGCAAGGAUUUUGAAUGAGUGUAGAAAGGUAAGUCAUCUCUUGAUAAGCCUGGUUGCAUGAUCUGUUAUGAGAAAUGAGAUGAUGAAAGCAUAGUUGAAAGUUUGGAUAUAUGGAUUUGGUGGAAUUUCUUGAAAUAAACAAAAAAUACAAUUAUUUGCCUUUUCAUCUUCUUGGGCAAGAGUUUCUUGUAAGAGUAAAGUCAUGUUAAUAUAUACAUUGGGCUGUAUAGCUUUGGUUCUCAAUAAUAAUGAUAAAAAACAACAGCAGCUAACAUUUAUUGGGACUUUUAUCUUGCCAGCUGAAGUUCUAAGUGCUUUACAUGAAUUGUAUUUUUAAAUAUUCUUAACGAUUUUAUGAGGUAGUAGUUAGUAUUCCCAUAUUUAUGGAAAAAUGCUCUGAAAGGAAGACAGUAGUUAGUCAUACUUUGUGGUCAUGGAGUGAGGACAAGACACAGCAUGUGCUUUUUGUUUUGUUUUCUUUUGUUUUUAGUAAAAAGGCAGAGAAAGUGAAAAGGCACAGAAAUUACAGGAUAUGAGAUUAAUUAAUGAAUUUGUACAUUAUUUCUUUUCAAAGUGCUCUUUAAGUAUUCAUAUUACUCCUGCUGUGACCCAGUAAUGGUCUGUGUGCCUCCCUGCACAGGCGUUGAUACAGGAACUACUCUGUUUUGACCAUGCUUUGGAUCUAGCUUGUUGUAGCUUUCUUAUUUAUUUAUCCUGGAUGUCAGUGACCAGCUGCCUGCGAACUGACCUCAGGCCUCAUGCUGCUGCUGACUUGGAUAAUUCCUGAAGGGCAGCAAAGCCCUUGGACAUGGAGAACAGGCUUUCAUCUGGGCGAUACUGGAAGUAGUGCACAAAGUCUCAUGUUUUGUGAUAUGUUGGUUGCUUAGUUAUUGAGUUAUAUUACAGAUUGUGACUUUAUUCUGAAAAAAAGUGUAGUGCUUAAGUGGCUUGCAUCCUUGCUAGCUUAAGAAAAUAUUUUAGGUGGCAGUAUUAUGUGGUGAAAGGACAACAGAUUUUGAUGCAGUAAUUUUAGGACUGAGUUUGGGCUCUUCCAUUUUCAAGCUGUAUUAUCUUACACACGUUAUCUGGCAUCUCUGAACUUCAGGUUCUUCUUUAGUAAGUUACGAUGAAUAUGUACUUCACAGGGUUAUUGUGGAGUUCCAAUAAGGUAAUGUUAAAGUAUAUUAAAGAGAUUUUUAACGCAACAAAGUUUUAAUCAAAUACUUGUUAUCACUGUUAUUAUGUGGUUAUAUAAAAAUAUGUUGUAUACAGUCAAUUACUAGAUAUUCCUAUAAUUCUACUUCAUGCUAACAUGUUUAUUCUUUGAAGCACAGGGAUUCAUAUGAAUCAUUCUCUAAUUCUGAAAAUAUUGCAAUCUAAUACCCUAACAACUCAUUCACAAUAGACAAAACAUUUCUAAGCAUAAAUGCACAUUGGAUUGAUAAUUAUUUCUCCAAGCUAUGUUUUGAGUUGGUAAUUUAAUUUUCAUGCAGCCUCUUAGGAUUUAUAUUGUAUGUGGCAGCUUAAACACACUCUCACAGACACACCCUCACAACUUUGGCUGCACUGAGAAAUUCACCUAUUAUUAUGAUGUUUAUUCUUCAGUAUCUUUAUUAUUUAUUUUUAACUUUUAUUUUAGGUUCAGGGGUACAGGUGCAGGUUUGUUAUAUAGGAAAAUUGUUUGUCAUGGGGGUUUGGUGUAUAGAUUAUUUUAUCACCCAGGGUAAUAAGCAUAGUACUUGAUAGGUAUUUUUUUUUAAUCCUCUCCCUCCUCCCACCCUCAAAGAGGCCCUAGUGUCUGUCAAAUCAAAACAUAAUUCCUUAGCUUAUCCUAUAGAUUUUGCCAUGGAUCUGAAAACCUAGAACAUAUAAUUUACCAAUUAAAUGUUCAUUGCAGAGGUUAUCCUUUAUGAAGUGUAAAAGGACACCAAAUUUGCAAUGCAAUCUUAGCUGGCCUUCCAUUAACACUAAUUAUAAUCUUCAUAUGACAGUUGUCAGGUGUGUCUUGAAAUUGAUUUAAAAAUCAUGCAUAUUAUAUAGUGACUUAUUGUUUCAUAAAACAGAGGUGUAAUUAGAAGGAUACCGACUUUUCCCAUGAGAUCAAAGGUAGAUAAGUAAUGGGGCAUUAUGACAGGAACUAGACCUACAGUUCACCUUGCAGAUUUUCUUAGUAUGUGCCUUUUUCUGGUAAUAAAUGGGGCCAUUUUAGUGCCUCUCUCAUUCUCCUUUUCUUGCUAAAGGACAGUUUCUUGUGCUCUCCUUAAACAUUCCUAUCACAGUGUCCUCAAAGCGAGAUCCUCUGACCUAGGAGUCGUUAUAAUACAACAAAGAAGCAACCACCACUAACUGACCUUCCUGCUCAUUGACCCAAUUCCACAUUCCUUGGAGAGAGAUUCUCAUUAAUCCAACUGAGUCUCAUGAUUACUAGUUCUCUAUAAAUUGCCCAAUAGAAUAUGGCUGUGGAACAAGGGCCUGAGGGACAAACAUGACUCCAGGGGCAGGUGGUGGCAGUUCUCAAGAGAAGGGGCUUGGGCAGGAUCAUCCUCAAAUCAUAAUAACAUAAAAAGAUUUUAACAAUAGAAACUUUUCACUAUUGUCACAGAAAUAUUAGGUUGCAAAAACUUAGAUUUACAUAAAUCUAGUUUUAUGUAAUGACGAAGUUUAUAAACAUUGGCAUAGCGAAAUGUUUACUGGCUUGUAAUAGCUAUUUAAAGGAAUUUUAAAUCGUUAUUUAAAUCAAUAGUUAUUUAAAGGAAUUAUAUAGCUAAGUUCUUUUAAAAACAUCCAAUCAAUCAAUAUGCCUUUGUGAAGCAUCUCUUUAAAAGUAUACCGUUUUACUUAUGUGGUUUUUAAUGGUAGAUUGGUAUAACAGCAAGAAUUUAUUUACUUUGCAUUAUUAGGAUAGUACUUUAUAGAACUUUAUGGUUCCUUCAGCCGUGGGGUUCUGUCUAAUCAUGCAUUUAUUAUUUAUUAUUUUUAUUAUUUAGUAGAGAUGAGGUCUCACUAUGGUGCCCAGGGUGGUCUCAAACUCCUGGCCUCAGCAAGCCUCUGCCUCAUCCUCCCAAAGUGCUGGAAUUAGAGGUAUGAGCCACCAUGUCCAGCCUGGUCAUGCAUUUUUGAUCACUGUUCCUUCCUUUAGUUUGUAUCUGAUUGUAAACAAUCUAUAUACAGAAGUAUUGGCUUAAUUCCAAAAUAAGCAUAGGAAAGAGCUUGAAGUAUUAGAAAAAUAGAAGGAAGGAGAAUGUGACUGGAGUCUAGUGAAUCACGGCUGAACAUCAUGCAUGUAUAAACACCAAGCAACAAUCAGGAUAGAUACCUAGGAAGUUCUUUAUGAAUGGCUGUGAUUUUUGUUUCCAGUAUGUGAGUUUGUUAUUUAUAGAAGACCACACUGAGGACCACUGCAACCUGAAAAACUCACUCUCAAGGAGUUCCAUGACUUAUGAAGUUAGUAAGGCUUUCUUGGAUUGGAGGAAAAUGUGCAUAAGGUACAGUUAAGCCCCUAGUUCUCCUUCCCUUCUGGAGAUCAAGUGACUCCCCCUCAAGCAGGAGGCCAGCCAUUAAUAUAUUCAGGAGAAACUGAACCUGAGAAGCUCUGGACUCCUUUGUACCAGACCUGGUAAUGUAAACAUGUCAGCAGGGUGGGGAAGUGCAAAUGGUUAAAAAAGAAAAAGUAAAAGAAACAGACAAUACAGGAAGAUAAAGAAGACAAAAGCAAUUGGUGUAAUUGAAAUCCUAAGAAUAACAAGAAAUAUUGCUUCCAAUAAAAACAAAAACCAAAAGGAAAAACUAAGAUAUUUA